rnacentral:rRNA from 1 species
GGGUUGUGAGGUUAAGCGACUAAGCGUACACGGUGGAUGCCCUGGCAGUCAGAGGCGAUGAAGGACGUGCUAAUCUGCGAUAAGCGUCGGUAAGGUGAUAUGAACCGUUAUAACCGGCGAUUUCCGAAUGGGGAAACCCAGUGUGAUUCGUCACACUAUCAUUAACUGAAUCCAUAGGUUAAUGAGGCGAACCGGGGGAACUGAAACAUCUAAGUACCCCGAGGAAAAGAAAUCAACCGAGAUUCCCCCAGUAGCGGCGAGCGAACGGGGAGGAGCCCAGAGCCUGAAUCAGUGUGUGUGUUAGUGGAAGCGUCUGGAAAGGCGCGCGAUACAGGGUGACAGCCCCGUACACAAAAAUGCACAUGCUGUGAGCUCGAUGAGUAGGGCGGGACACGUGGUAUCCUGUCUGAAUAUGGGGGGACCAUCCUCCAAGGCUAAAUACUCCUGACUGACCGAUAGUGAACCAGUACCGUGAGGGAAAGGCGAAAAGAACCCCGGCGAGGGGAGUGAAAAAGAACCUGAAACCGUGUACGUACAAGCAGUGGGAGCACGCUUAGGCGUGUGACUGCGUACCUUUUGUAUAAUGGGUCAGCGACUUAUAUUCUGUAGCAAGGUUAACCGAAUAGGGGAGCCGAAGGGAAACCGAGUCUUAACUGGGCGUUAAGUUGCAGGGUAUAGACCCGAAACCCGGUGAUCUAGCCAUGGGCAGGUUGAAGGUUGGGUAACACUAACUGGAGGACCGAACCGACUAAUGUUGAAAAAUUAGCGGAUGACUUGUGGCUGGGGGUGAAAGGCCAAUCAAACCGGGAGAUAGCUGGUUCUCCCCGAAAGCUAUUUAGGUAGCGCCUCGUGAAUUCAUCUCCGGGGGUAGAGCACUGUUUCGGCAAGGGGUCAUCCCGACUUACCAACCCGAUGCAAACUGCGAAUACCGGAGAAUGUUAUCACGGGAGACACACGGCGGGUGCUAACGUCCGUCGUGAAGAGGGAAACAACCCAGACCGCCAGCUAAGGUCCCAAAGUCAUGGUUAAGUGGGAAACGAUGUGGGAAGGCCCAGACAGCCAGGAUGUUGGCUUAGAAGCAGCCAUCAUUUAAAGAAAGCGUAAUAGCUCACUGGUCGAGUCGGCCUGCGCGGAAGAUGUAACGGGGCUAAACCAUGCACCGAAGCUGCGGCAGCGACGCUGAUGCGUUGUUGGGUAGGGGAGCGUUCUGUAAGCCUGCGAAGGUGUGCUGUGAGGCAUGCUGGAGGUAUCAGAAGUGCGAAUGCUGACAUAAGUAACGAUAAAGCGGGUGAAAAGCCCGCUCGCCGGAAGACCAAGGGUUCCUGUCCAACGUUAAUCGGGGCAGGGUGAGUCGACCCCUAAGGCGAGGCCGAAAGGCGUAGUCGAUGGGAAACAGGUUAAUAUUCCUGUACUUGGUGUUACUGCGAAGGGGGGACGGAGAAGGCUAUGUUGGCCGGGCGACGGUUGUCCCGGUUUAAGCGUGUAGGCUGGUUUUCCAGGCAAAUCCGGAAAAUCAAGGCUGAGGCGUGAUGACGAGGCACUACGGUGCUGAAGCAACAAAUGCCCUGCUUCCAGGAAAAGCCUCUAAGCAUCAGGUAACAUCAAAUCGUACCCCAAACCGACACAGGUGGUCAGGUAGAGAAUACCAAGGCGCUUGAGAGAACUCGGGUGAAGGAACUAGGCAAAAUGGUGCCGUAACUUCGGGAGAAGGCACGCUGAUAUGUAGGUGAAGUCCCUCGCGGAUGGAGCUGAAAUCAGUCGAAGAUACCAGCUGGCUGCAACUGUUUAUUAAAAACACAGCACUGUGCAAACACGAAAGUGGACGUAUACGGUGUGACGCCUGCCCGGUGCCGGAAGGUUAAUUGAUGGGGUCAGCGCAAGCGAAGCUCUUGAUCGAAGCCCCGGUAAACGGCGGCCGUAACUAUAACGGUCCUAAGGUAGCGAAAUUCCUUGUCGGGUAAGUUCCGACCUGCACGAAUGGCGUAAUGAUGGCCAGGCUGUCUCCACCCGAGACUCAGUGAAAUUGAACUCGCUGUGAAGAUGCAGUGUACCCGCGGCAAGACGGAAAGACCCCGUGAACCUUUACUAUAGCUUGACACUGAACAUUGAGCCUUGAUGUGUAGGAUAGGUGGGAGGCUUUGAAGUGUGGACGCCAGUCUGCAUGGAGCCGACCUUGAAAUACCACCCUUUAAUGUUUGAUGUUCUAACGUUGACCCGUAAUCCGGGUUGCGGACAGUGUCUGGUGGGUAGUUUGACUGGGGCGGUCUCCUCCUAAAGAGUAACGGAGGAGCACGAAGGUUGGCUAAUCCUGGUCGGACAUCAGGAGGUUAGUGCAAUGGCAUAAGCCAGCUUGACUGCGAGCGUGACGGCGCGAGCAGGUGCGAAAGCAGGUCAUAGUGAUCCGGUGGUUCUGAAUGGAAGGGCCAUCGCUCAACGGAUAAAAGGUACUCCGGGGAUAACAGGCUGAUACCGCCCAAGAGUUCAUAUCGACGGCGGUGUUUGGCACCUCGAUGUCGGCUCAUCACAUCCUGGGGCUGAAGUAGGUCCCAAGGGUAUGGCUGUUCGCCAUUUAAAGUGGUACGCGAGCUGGGUUUAGAACGUCGUGAGACAGUUCGGUCCCUAUCUGCCGUGGGCGCUGGAGAACUGAGGGGGGCUGCUCCUAGUACGAGAGGACCGGAGUGGACGCAUCACUGGUGUUCGGGUUGUCAUGCCAAUGGCACUGCCCGGUAGCUAAAUGCGGAAGAGAUAAGUGCUGAAAGCAUCUAAGCACGAAACUUGCCCCGAGAUGAGUUCUCCCUGACCCUUUAAGGGUCCUGAAGGAACGUUGAAGACGACGACGUUGAUAGGCCGGGUGUGUAAGCGCAGCGAUGCGUUGAGCUAACCGGUACUAAUGAACCGUGAGGCUUAACCUUACAACGCCGAAGCUGUU